GCCCGUUUGUUUCAGAGCUGUGUCACUGAGGAGCAGCCCCAGGGUUUCAUUAUGAGAGAAGCUGGGGCCAUGUACCUCCGUAGGCCCUGACCGUCCACAGAUGGAGAAGCCAUGGCUAGGCUCCGCCUUGACUUCUGCCAAAGCUCAUGCUGGAAACAGAUUCAAAAUCGUUCACACAAAAGCAGGGAAAAACAAAGCAGCUUUUAGACUUCACAGCUGGGCACAUGUGCCUAGAGCAGUGUUCCUGUUCUUUGCCUGGCUAACUUCUAUGCAUCCUUCUCAAUUUAAGUAUCACUUCCUCAGAGAAGCCUUCCUGGACAGCCCCACCACCAGUGGGUCCCAGCUAGUCUCACUUGGCUUCCUGUAAUUUUCACUUGUAGCACUUUCCGUAUUUUAUGGUUAUAUAUUUAUUUGUGUGUUUAUAUGCUUAAUGUCUUACCCCCACCACGAGACAAAAAAUUCCAUAAGAAAAAAACACACCUUUGUACCCCAAGUGCCUGGCCCCACAGAUACUCCACACUUGGCUGGAUGCCUUCCCUCCAGGUGUGGGUAGUUCUCACAGGUCAGCAGCCCUGAGCUGGAGCUGCCCCUGUCCUGGUAGAUAAGCUGGUUUCACGCCAUUGUGGCCCUGUCCCCUUUCUAACGGAGCACUAAGCCUCCUCUCUUUCCCUGGUUCCCUGGAGAGCACCUCGGAGGCCUCAUCAUAUCUGUAUAGACGCUGCUGAGGCGCCUACGCACAGGCAUGGUCUAGACUAGACAACAGUUUGCUGCGAGCAGCUGCAGCACAGACAAUGAGUGGGCUCAGCUUGACCCCACCCACCCCACUCAAGAUUCAACUCAAGCAAAUGGCAUGGGAACUGCUCCAAAAUGUAGGCAGACAGAAGGAUGGGAGCAGACGGGCAGGGAGAGGGAAAAGAUGCUGCUGGCAGGGGAGGGGAAGCAAGGCUGCUUUCCUUCCUGAGCAUCCCUUCUUGCCACGCAGAGCUGGCGGAUGCAAAGGAAGCAGCAUGAGGAGGGGCGUCUGGAAAAGCGGAAGCUGCUGCAAGCUCACUAAUGAGGUGCCUGGAGACAGAGGAGAAAGUGAACCUGCUGAAAAAGCUCCCCAGACCCUGGAGGAAUAUGCUGUCCAGAUUCACAGGUUCAAAGGGAUUUCUGCUGCUUUCUCCACCUGAUGUCUGCUGUGGUUCUAGCAUGCCAACCAGAGAGUCCAGGACCCUCUGGACUUCCUUACAAGCAAUCAUUCUCCUGGAAUUUAGGGAGCUGCCAAGCCAGAAAGCAUCAGGUGCUUCUACCAGCGCCACCAUCUUCCCUACAGGCCUAUUCUCCGUCUACAAAGCCAACCCAGGGAACCAAGAGGAAUUCACAGAACCAAGUGUUUCAGAUGAUGGACCAGUCACUCACAUGCCAGAUGGGAGAGCAAGGUGGAUUUGGGGGUCAGCUAAGCCAAGAGGGAAAGGAGCCCAGCCCAGAGUGACUACCCUCUUCCCCGCUGCGCUCAAAACCGAGCAAAGCCAACCGGUUUCCUCCCGUGACUUAAAACAGAGCAAAGUCUAUCCUGCCACAGAAGGCGGCUGUCAUCUCUUCCUUCCGCCAACAAACCGGCAUCAAACCUACGGAGUGGGGGUGCGCAGAGAAACCCAACGCCCCACCUACUGGCUGGAAGGUUUCCUGUGGCUCGAGUUGGUCUCACGGGAUGCAAACCAGAGCCAUAAACCAGAUGGAGUGGGUGAGGGAGCCUGAUCCUGGUUGGACGUGGGGUCUCAGGGUCUGGUGACUGUGCUGAGGUUCGUUCCUUGCCCACCAGCAUCUAGAUCCGUACAAGGCAAAAAGCUCACAAGGCAGGAGCCAUCCCAGAAAGCUCUGAAGUUUGGUGACGAUUCGCAGGCAUCUGUGAGCUGGAGGCCCCCACAGGAAAGCAGGGAUGGAAGCGCCCCUUACCAACUCCGAGGCUUGAACCUG